rnacentral:rRNA from 1 species
CCUACGGGCUGCACCAGUGAGGAAUAUUGGACAAUGGGUGGAAGCCUGAUCCAGCCAUCCCGCGUGCAGGAAGACGGCCCUAUGGGUUGUAAACUGCUUUUAUCUGGGGAUAAACCUACUUACGUGUAAGUAGCUGAAGGUACCAGAAGAAUAAGCACCGGCUAACUCCGUGCCAGCAGCCGCGGUAAUACGGAGGGUGCAAGCGUUAUCCGGAUUUAUUGGGUUUAAAGGGUCCGUAGGCGGACUAGUAAGUCAGCGGUGAAAUCCGACAGCUUAAUUGUCGAACUGCCAUUGGUACUGCUAGUCUUGAGUAAGGUUGAAGUGGCUGGAAUAAGUAGUGUAGCGGUGAAAUGCAUAGAUAUUACUUAGAACACCAAUUGCGAAGGCAGGUCACUAAGUCUUAACUGACGCUGAUGGACGAAAGCGUAGGGAGCGAACAGGAUUAGAUACCCUGGUAGUC